UACAAACAUGUUGGAGAGUAGGGUCGCCAC
rnacentral:piRNA from 1 species